rnacentral:rRNA from 1 species
UACGGAGGGUGCAAGCGUUAAUCGGAAUUACUGGGCGUAAAGCGUGCGCAGACGGUUUGUUAAGUCCGUUGUGAAAGCCCCGAGCUCAACUUGGGAAUUGCAGUGGAUACUGGCAGGCUGGAGUACGGUAGAGGAAGGUGGAAUUCCCGGUGUAGCAGUGAAAUGCGUAGAGAUCGGGAGGAACACCAGUGGCGAAGGCGGCCUUCUGGACCAGUACUGACGCUCAUGCACGAAAGCGUGGGGAGCAAACAGG